AGUUGCUUCCUGAAACAACAUCCUGGUGCUGCCUGAGUGCUGCUUAUUGACUCCAGCAUCAGUGAUUUUGUUGCAGGCGGUG
rnacentral:pre_miRNA from 17 species